rnacentral:rRNA from 1 species
UACGUAGGGUGCAAGCGUUGUUCGGAAUUACUGGGCGUAAAGGCGCGACGUAGGCGGGUUAGGAAAGUCGAUUGUGAAAUCCCUGGGCUUAACCUGGGAACUGCGUCGAAACUCCUAAAUCUUGAGUGCCUGAGAGGAUGGCGGAAUUCCCGGUGUAGUAGUGAAAUACGUAGAUAUCGGGAAGAACACCUGAGGCGAAGGCGGCUAUCUGGCGGUGCACUGACGCUGAGGCGCGAAAGCGUGGGGAGCAAACAGG